CCUACGGGUGGCAGCAGUGAGGAAUAUUGGUCAAUGGCCGAGAGGCUGAACCAGCCAAGUCGCGUGAGGGAAGAAUGUCCUAGGGAUUGUAAACCUCUUUCGUCAGGGAGCAAAGUCACCCACGUGUGGGGGUUGGAGAGUACUUGAAGAAAAAGCAUCAGCUAACUCUGUGCCAGAAGCCGCGGUAAUAAGGAGGAUGCGAGGGUUAUCCGGAUUUUUUGGGUUUAAAGGGUGCGUAGGCGGGUUAUCAAGUCAGCGGUAAAAUCGUGGAGCUCAACUCCAUCCAGCCGUUGAAACUGAUGUUCUUGAGUGGGCGAGAAGUAUGCGGAAUGCGGGGUGUAGCGGUGAAAUGCGUAGAUAUCACGAAGAACUCCGAUUGCGAAGGCAGCAUACCGGCGCCCGACUGACGCUGAAGCACGAAAGCGUGGGUAUCGAACAGGAUUAGAUACCCGAGUAGUC
rnacentral:rRNA from 1 species